ACCGUCUAUCUUUGAUAGGCAACGACUUUCGCCGAACUUUCCUUGGAUUUUUCCAGCAGCCGACCCCGCGGUUUUCCGCCCCUCCUCGCUGCCCGCCGCUUCCCUCGACCAGCGGAAGUCUCGCGGCUCUGGCUCGGCUCUAUCAAAAUCAACGGGCGGCGACUGAAGCGAACACAGAAUAAUUGCCAUAGCUGUGUGCCAGCGCCAGUGCCAGUCAGUGCCAGCAGUUUGAAAUCGACGACAACAUCAGCAGCAACAAGCAUUGCAACAACAGCGGCGGCGCGGUGAUAAGUCGGCUGCUGGCUUGUUAUUUUAUUGUCGCUUUUGUUGCACAUUGAAAAUAAUACACAAAAUAAUUGAAUUACUCGAAAUGUGUGCAUGUCCGUGUGCGUGCGACUUGCGUAUGUAUGAGUGGGUGUGUGUGUGUGUCGUGCCUUUAUGGGGGCGUUCAGGGCCCCGCUGAUAAGCGAUGAUCAAGAGUGUUCCCCGUGCUCGGCGACAUGUGAUAAGGAGCGUGAGGUGGAAACGUGACACUCGGCGGGGCGGGCAUCGGCACGUAAAUUAUGCUGAUGACACCGGCUCCGCACCCAGGCUCUGAAAAAGCUGAAAAGCCCGAAACUCGGAGUGAAAAACUGAGCGAGCGAUUGCGCUUGAAAAAUACCAGCACGUUCCUACGAGCUGCAAAGCAACAAGAAUAACUGGCUUCGACUGCCAUUUGAUCGCAGCGCACAAAUAUUUACAAUACCAUUUAAUGACAUUUCGCCUUAUAAAAGAAUGAGUGAGGAAC
rnacentral:sRNA from 1 species